UAAUUCCUUUUCUAUUGUAAAUAUUCUGUUCUACUUCUACAUUUCCAUUUUUCUUUUCUGUCAAAACUACUUUAUUAUCUCUGGUCUUUUGCAUUUUAGGUUCGAUGUAUCCACUUUGAAUGAUUACAUUUCCGGUUGUUCGGCAGUUGUCUGUGUGGAGCGUGAUUCUGCUGUCCUCAUCACACUCCCCAUCCUGUUUCCCGAACAUUUGGGACAGUUAGGAGUAACAACUCCCAUUAAUCCGUCAAUUAUACUCUUACAAUUCUUUCCUACUAGGCUUAUGGAAGCGCCAGUAUCCAGUAAUCCUUUUACCCUCAGAUAUCAAUUCACGAAUAAGGCCAGUAUAAGCCCUUGGACUAUUGCACGAUGAAAACCCUCUUUGUGUUUGAGAUAUAUUGGGUGGUGGAAAAUCGUAGUUCUUCGGAGGAACAAAAGUUUUCGGUAUUGCUCCGGUUUGUUGCCCAGAAACUGUUGUUUGUGCAUGCAAUGGUGGAUCGUUUGAUGGGUUCCCUAUCGGCAUUCAUUGGCGUUCUCCCUAAUGACAUUUUGAUAAUCUUUCUUUUAAAAAUUCUAAUUUAUUGGUUUUUUAAUACUUUCUGUAUUUUAAAGAAAUAAGUAUCUUAAAAAUAUAAUAAACAAAUGGGGCAUUUCACGUCAAGUGAACCAACUUUUGAAAUCGAUGUCUUCCGAUCACGAUGAAAUUUGCACUAAUGUUAGUUAUAUUGGAUAGUAAUUCGGACACCAUUUUUCAACAAGAUCGGUCAAGAACUCUCUGACUUAUAGGAGGUCAAAAUUUGACAUUUUUGCCAAACAGGUGUUUUUUUAUCCAUAUAACUUAUUACCUAUUGUUUUUAACAAAAU